AUUUAACUCUUGCUGCAGGCCUAACACAUGCAAGUCGAGCGAUCUGCUGACGGGUGCGUAAUGUAUGGGGAUCUGCCCGAUAGAGGUGGAUAACUACUGGAAACGGUUGCUAAUACAGCAUACUAUCUGAUGAACCCAUAUGGGAUUAGCUAGUAGGUGGUGUAAAGGCUCACCUAGGCGACGAUCUCUAGCUGGUCUGAGAGGAUGAUCAGCCACACUGGGACUGAGACACGGCCCAGACUCCUACGGGAUGCAGCAGUGGGGAAUAGUGCACAAUGGGCGCAAGCCUGAUGCAGCCAUGCCGCGUGUAUGAAGAAGGCCUUAUGGUUGUAAAGGACUUUCAGCGGGGAGGCGUUACCCGCAGAAGAAGCACCGGCUAACUCCGUGCCAGCCGCAGCGGUAAUAC
rnacentral:rRNA from 1 species